UUUCCGGUUGAUCCUGCCGGACCCUACUGCUAUCGGGAUAAGACUAAGCCAUGCGAGUUGAGCGUUCCCUAGCUAUGUUGGGAGAGCAGCGAACGGCUCAGUAACACGUAGUUAACCUACCCUCAGGACGGGAAUACCCCCGGGAAACUGGGACUAAUGCCCGAUAAGUGGAAGCGCCUGGAACGGUCUUUCACUAAAAGAGCAUCGGAGACAUGCUUCCGAUGUUGCCUGAGGAUGGGACUGCGGCCGAUCAGGUUGUUGGUGGGGUAACGGCCUACCAAGCCUAUAACCGGUACGGGCCCUGAGAGGGGGAGCCCGGAGAUGGGAACUGAGACAAGGUCCCAGGCCCUACGGGGCGCAGCAGGCGCGAAAACUCCACAAUGCACGAAAGUGUGAUGGGGUUAUCCCGAGUGCCGUUCGAUGAGGAUGGCUUUUCCCCGGUUUAAUACGCCGGGGGAAUAAAGGGGGGGCAAGACUGGUGUCAGCCGCCGCGGUAAUACCAGCUCCCUGAGUGGUAGGGAUGAUUAUUUGGCCUAAAGCGUCCGUAGCCUGCUUGGUAAGUCUUUCGUUAAAUCCAGCGAUUCAAUCAUUGGCCUGCGAAAGAUACUGCUAGGCUUGAGGACGGGAGAGGUCGACGGUAGUCCCAGGGUAGGGGUGAAAUCCUAUAAUCCUGGGAGGACCACCAGUGGCGAAGGCGGUCGACUAGAACGUGCCUGACGGUGAUGGACGAAAGCUGGGGGAGCGAACCGGAUUAGACACCCGGGUAGUCCCAGCUGUAAACGAUGCGAGCUAGGUGUUAGAGCAGCUACGAGCUACUCUAGUGCCGCAGAGAAAUCGUUAAGCUCGCCGCCUGGGGAGUACGAUCGCAAGAUUGAACUUAAAGGAGUUGGCGGGGGAGCACCACAAGGGGUGAAGCCUGCGGUUCAUUGGAGUCACGCCGGA
rnacentral:rRNA from 1 species